ACUCAGAGAAUCCAUCUAAAAUUUCGCCGCAAAAUCUGUGUAAACUUGUGCGCGUAUAUGUGUGUUUGUGUGUGUAUAGUAUAGAUAUAGGUGCGAAGGUGUGUGCGUAUAGUGCGGAAAUGGAGGAAGAAAAGGCGGAGAAGGAAACUGUAGGUAGGUACGCUUUCCUUAGAUUUUUUUGUGUUAAUUGGAUUUUAGUGGUUCCUAUUUUUCUCUCACUCAUAUUAAACUCCAUAUAUUUUGUUUAAUAAAAUGUUGAUAAUCUUUAUUAGAAAAAUGUAUAAAAAUAUUUAUGUAAAAACCUGUAAUAUUAUUAAUAAAUAUUUUUUGAUAUCCGCAAUUUCUGCGUGUAUAAGAUACAGGAUACAAACCUCACAUUCACCAUAAUUUGCAGUAUAUAAUCAAGAUUCCAGGCAUACACUGUUUUUUGUUUUUUUUAAAGAAAUGGUNUCCGCAUAUCAUACGCACGAGACGACACCUGCUUCACGAACUCAUCCGAAGUACUCGGAAUCGUGCCGUCCAAUUGAAGAGCUUUCUUCACCUCCUCAUCCUCCUCAUCAUCAUUUUUAUCUUCAUCUUUUUCUCUAUCAACAUCUCCUUGGUUGCUCAAUUUACACCAAACUUCCACUCUUCUCCUUCUCCGAUGUUUCGAUAAACACUGAAACCGGCGAUCGCUGUAACUAGAGAUAGCUCCGGGGAUGGAACUAAUUCGCCGCCGGUGAUGAUGAUGAUUUGCCGCCAGAAAAACGAUCGACGGUGCCACUGAAGCACUCAGAGAAUCCAUCUAAAAUUUCGCCGCAAAAUCUGUGUAAACUUGUGCGCGUAUAUGUGUGUUUGUGUGUGUAUAGUAUAGAUAUAGGUGCGAAGGUGUGUGCGUAUAGUGCGGAAAUGGAGGAAGAAAAGGCGGAGAAGGAAACUGUAGGUAGGUACGCUUUCCUUAGAUUUUUUUGUGUUAAUUGGAUUUUAGUGGUUCCUAUUUUUCUCUCACUCAUAUUAAAC
rnacentral:lncRNA from 1 species